AGGCCCAAGAUUUCACCAACGCUGUUUCUUCACGGUGAGCGUGCCUCUAACCUCAGCAUAUCAUCGCGUUCCUUUUAAGUUCUGUGACGCGUCAACGACGCCGCCACUUGUAGCAACCAAG